rnacentral:rRNA from 1 species
CCUACGGGAGGCAGCAGUGAGGAAUAUUGGUCAAUGGACGAGAGUCUGAACCAGCCAAGUAGCGUGAAGGAUGACUGCCCUAUGGGUUGUAAACUUCUUUUAUAUGGGAAUAAAAUGUUCCCCGUGUGGGAUUUUGUAUGUACCAUAUGAAUAAGGAUCGGCUAACUCCGUGCCAGCAGCCGCGUUAAUACGGAGGAUCCGAGCGUUAUCCGGAUUUAUUGGGUUUAAAGGGAGCGUAGGUGGGUUGUUAAGUCAGUUGUGAAAGUUUGCGGCUCAACCGUAAAAUUGCAGUUGAAACUGGCAGUCUUGAGUACAGUAGAGGUGGGCGGAAUUCGUGGUGUAGCGGUGAAAUGCUUAGAUAUCACGAAGAACUCCGAUUGCGAAGGCAGUUCACUGGACUGCAACUGACACUGAGGCUCGAAAGUGUGGGUAUCAAACAGGAUUAGAUACCCUAGUAGUC